GGCGUGGUGCCAGAGUGGUUAAUGGGUGAGACUCGAAUCCUUCUUUCACGAGAAGCCCAUAAGAUAUCUCAUGACUUCGGUCGCGCAAGUUCGAAUCUUGUCCACGUCG
rnacentral:tRNA from 1 species